rnacentral:tRNA from 1 species
GCGGGCGUGGCGGAAUUGGUAGACGCAACGGACUUAAAAUCCGUCUCUGCAAAGAAUGCCGGUUCGAGUCCGGUCGCCCGUACCA